GAAAUCCCCAGAGCUUAACUCUGGAACUGCCAUCAAAACUUUUUAGCUAGAGUAUGAUAGAGGAAAGCAGAAUUUCUAGUGUAGAGGUGAAAUUCGUAGAUAUUAGAAAGAAUACCGAUUGCGAAGGCAGCUUUCUGGAUCAUUACUGACGCUGAGGAACGAAAGCAUGGGUAGCGAAGAGGAUUAGAUACCCUCGUAGUCCAUGCCGUAAACGAUGUGUGUUAGACGUUGGAAAUUUAUUUUCAGUGUCGCAGCGAAAGCAUUAAACACACCGCCUGGGGAGUACGACCGCAAGGUUAAAACUCAAAUGAAUUGACGGGGACCCGCACAAGUAGUGGAGCAUGUGGUUUAAUUCGAAGAUACGCGCAGAACCUUACCAACACUUGACAUGUUCGUCGCGACUCUAAGAGAUUAGAGUUUUCGGUUCGGCCGGACGAAACACAGGUGCUGCAUGGCUGUCGUCAGCUCGUGUCGUGAGAUGUUGGGUUAAGUCCCGCAACGAGCGCAACCCUCACUUUUAGUUGCCAUCAUUAAGUUGGGCACUCUGAAAGAACUGCCAGUGAUAAGCUGGAGGAAGGUGGGGAUGACGUCAAGUCCUCAUGGCCCUUACGUGUUGGGCUACACACGUGCUACAAUGGCAUUUACAAUAGGAAGCAAGAUGGCGACAUCAAGCAAAUCCUAAAAAUAUGCCUCAGUUCGGAUUGUACUCUGCAACUCGAGUACAUGAAGCUGGAAUUACUAGUAAUCGCGGAUCAGCGCGCCGCGGUGAAUACGUUCCCGGGUCUUGUACACACCGCCCGUCACACCAUGGGAGUUGGUUCUACCUUAAGGCAAGGUUUUAAACCCUUGACUACGGUAUAGUCAGCGACUGGGGUGAAGUCGUAACAAGGUAAC
rnacentral:rRNA from 1 species